UUGAGGUUACUAAUCUUUCAGUCAGCUGGAAAAUAAUGAACUUAAAAAAAAAAUAAUAUUUAUUAUCAUCCAGGACCAUUUGCAGAAGAAAGGCAUAAAGCAUUUAAUAAAGUCAAAAGCCAGAAUUCAUGGAACAAUCAUAUUCUUAGGCACCAAGCAUAAAUAAGUGCCUCAGGGAUGGAAAAUUACAUCAUGAUAGAUUUUCUCAUUGUUUACACCAUUUAUCCUAACUAAGAAAAUUUAAUGCAAGUAUUCUCAAUAAGAUACAGGACAUCCCUACAAGUUAAUUACACAAAGAAACUGGGAUUAUUCACAUAUACAUAUAUAAUACAGCUACGCCCAACUACACGAACUCAAAAUUACAAUGAGGAUUCGCUUCUCAUGAUAUUGUCAAACGUCUCAACAGGAUCAAGUAUCACUCCAAGUAUCAUCAUCUUCCCCAUCAUCACUUCCAACAGCCUGUCGGAUUGCAUUUGCUUUCUCCAAUAUUGCAGAGACUUUGUCAUUUGUAGCAGGGACUGAUGUGAAGGUAGGCUUUGCUGUCACAGUGCGUCUCAGGGUGAAUGAUUUCGCUCUGAUUUGAUGCAAAAAAUCCUCCUUUUCAUCCAGCCCUUUGCCAUUUGGAGGCAGAUUAACUUCUUUCUGUGCAUUCAACUGACAAUGGUCCUUGCUCUUUGGUUUAAAUGUAAUGGCCUCCUCAUCUGUUUGUUGCUCAUUAUCAGGGGCUGGUUUAUGUUGCUGAGAUAUUGUAGACCCUGAAAGUUUUAGAUCAGCUGCAUGCUGCUCACUCACAGCAUCAGAUAUUGUAUUUUGUUUUUCUUCUGCCAUACAAGAGGCAGGUUUUGUGACCCACCAUUGCACUGGGGGAGGAGGUGGUGGAGCUGGGUUGCAAUUCCUAGGAUUUUGCAAUUCUACGAGAUUCCUUGGAUCCAACUUAUCUUUUGCCUUUUCCUGUGGUACAGGGUUCACAGCAUCAAAACUGGGGAGAUCGAGCAAGGAGAGGAGAGAUGGAUCUGAACCAUUCUCAGCAUAGUCACUUUUAAAUCGCGAGACAAUGUGAACGCCGUUGUUGCCCAUUUCCCCAGCUUGCAGAGAACUUGAUACAGAUUCAACAGAUGAUAUUCUGCAUAAAGCAUCAUACAGCUCACGGUCCUGGUUUUCAGGAGAUUCACCAGAUUCCCAUUGCUCAGAAUAGGAAUCGGAGUGAUGGCUAAGACAAUCAUCUGACAUAUAAGGAGAUGAUCUACAGAAGGUAUCAUCAUCAGAUUCAGAACCUGCAUGUUGCAAUGGAAUAGAAGGCUCUGGCACCAACUGAAAUGAUGGGAACAUAUCUCUAAAACUUCCACUGCUGUGGUUCCCAUCAGGAAAUUUCAGCUUCAAUUUGGAAGCCUCAAAGCCAUCUACAGGGUGGAAAGACAUUUUCAUAUGUUCUAGUGGUGGUGAAGAAGUUAGUGAAUCUACAAUAGAUUUAUGUCCAAACUUAGCAUUCAAUGCUUUCCCUGGUGUUGCAUUAUAAGCAAAGCUAUGGUUCCCGUUACCCUGCUCCAAUGCACUAGUUUUCAGUGAGCUAGCCACCUCUGGUUUAUUAUCAGGGACAAGCGACAUCUUUUUACGUAAACCAUUAAUAAGUAACCUAUUGCCAAGUCCAAACAUUUGAGCUGAGUUUUCAACAUUCUCCUGACUGGUUUCAAAUGAUGUGGCUUUAACAUCUGCAUCAAGGCACAACUCUUUUCCUGAUUUCACUACACUUGCACUAUUCAAUCCUCCCACAGAAGCACUAACAAAUCUAUUACUAUGAUAAAAAUCACCAGAUUUUUCAAUUUCAGCAUCUUGAUCCUCACACUGUGAAUUGGAGCGUUCAGAACUCAGAAUCCUUUCCAUGCUUCCAGUGUCCUUAAUCAAUCUGCCAGGCUUCAUUCUCUCUCCAUUGUUGCUUGGCAUAGAAGCAUGAUUUGGGAGACUUUCUACCUCACCUUUACAUCUUGUCAAAGAAUCCUGAGUCGAUGUGUUUGAUACAGCAAAAUCAGGAGGCUUUGAUGGCUCAAGUCCUAACAGACCACCAUUUGUCCAGAAUGAGACCGAAGGAACACUAGAUAAUUCAGACUGAGAUUCCUGAGACUUGGAAGAUUCUUGAGACUUGGGAGAUUCUUGAGACUUGGCCAAUUCUUGAAUCUUGGGAGAUUCUUGAGACCUGGUCAAUUCU
rnacentral:misc_RNA from 1 species